UCACCUUCUUUUUAAUUUCUC
rnacentral:piRNA from 1 species